UGGGGAAUCUUCCGCAAUGGACGAAAGUCUGACGGAGCAAUGCCGCGUGAGUGAUGAAGGCCUUCGGGUUGUAAAACUCUGUCCCAAUGGAAGAAAACCCAUAGUGCAAAUAGUGCUAUGGCUUGACGGUACAUUGGGAGGAAGCCCCGGCUAACUAUGUGCCAGCAGCCGCGGUAAUACAUAGGGGGCAAGCGUUGUCCGGAAUUACUGGGCGUAAAGAGCGUGUAGGCGGAUUUUUAAGUCAGUUGUGAAAACUUUGGGCUUAACCCAGAGACUGCAUCUGAUACUGGAAGUCUUGAGUGCAGGAGAGGAGAGUGGAAUUCCUAGUGUAGCGGUGAAAUGCGUAGAUAUUAGGAGGAACACCAGUGGCGAAGGCGACUCUCUGGACUGUAACUGACGCUGAGACGCGAAAGCGUGGGGAGCAAACA
rnacentral:rRNA from 1 species